UACGGAGGGUGCAAGCGUUAUCCGGAUUCACUGGGUUUAAAGGGUGCGUAGGCGGGUAGGUAAGUCAGUGGUGAAAUCCUGGAGCUUAACUCCGGAACUGCCAUUGAUACUAUUUAUCUUGAAUAUUGUGGAGGUAAGCGGAAUAUGUCAUGUAGCGGUGAAAUGCUUAGAUAUGACAUAGAACACCAAUUGCGAAGGCAGCUUGCUACACAUAUAUUGACGCUGAUGCACGAAAGCGUGGGGAGCAAACAGG
rnacentral:rRNA from 1 species